UGGGUUGUGGCUCAGUGGUAGGGUGCUUGCUUAGCAUGCACGUGGCCCUGGGUUCAUCCCCAGCACCACAA
rnacentral:tRNA from 1 species